CACACCGCCCGUCACACCAUGGGAGUUUGUUGCACCAGAAGCAGGUAGCUUAACCUUCGGGAGGGCGCUUGCCACGGUGUGGCCGAUGACUGGGGGUG
rnacentral:rRNA from 1 species